UGACGCCGAUGGAUUGACGAUUUAUCACCGGUAUGGAGUUUAGAGGGGUAUCCGUGCCAUGCACAGCGAAUAUUAUCCCGAUUGCCGUGAGAUCCUUUCUAGGAGUCCCGACUGAGGCGCUCCAGGGCAGGACAGUCCGUACAGGUCCUUUGAGCAUAGAUGCUAUGAGCGGGCUGUUGAGUGAGCCUAUACCCAAUGAUGUGAG
rnacentral:lncRNA from 1 species